UCUAAAAUGUUCUGAGUUUCUUAUGUUAACGUACUGCAAAAUUGAGUAUGAUGUAGUCUCUGAUAUAUUUAUGUCUCGAUGGGCUCGCCAACCUAUAUUCAAUAAGUUAUUUUGGUUUGACCGUCCUUUACUGUGUUCGUGAAGCUUUUGUGCUAUAGUUGUUUAAUAAAACUGUACAAAAUGUCCUUGCCAGGAUUUCUCAGAAAUGUAACAAAAUUGUAUAGCUGCAGUAGGACUGCGAAGAGCAGCAGUUUCCUGUGUGCGAAGUAUCAUAACGGAUACCAGCAUAUGCAGGAACGCAUGCCAUAUCAGGCAACGCAAAGAAAUGCUAUUUAUCUGUCUAAAGUAGUAGAUGGACGAAGCAGCCUUAUUGGACUGGUAAAUGCGAAGGCGUUUUCGACGUCACCUCACCGUCUGGCGUCCCACGAUCAUACGAAGCUGUGGUCUGCCGAGAGAGCGCUCAGUGUAGCGCUUUUGGGGGUAGUGCCUGUCGCUUUGAUGUAUCCUUCGCAGGCGAUGGAUUGCAUUCUAGCAACUACACUUGUCAUGCACAACCACUGGGGCAUUGAAGCCAACGUUGUGGAUUACGUGCGUCCUAUUAUAUUUGGACCUGUGAUUCCCAAAAUAGCCGUUAUGGCUGUUUAUGGUGUUUCGAUUAUAACCCUGGCAGGAUUGUUGUAUUUCAUUUUCAAUGAUGUUGGAAUUGCCAAUGGAAUAAGGUUACUGUGGAAGCUGUAACCCAAUUCAAGUGUGGGUUAGCCAAGGAGCCUGACUACUAGCAAAUCACCAAGAAGCUGUGUAAUACUAGUUACAGCAUUUCAAUAUUAAAGUGUUCUGUCUUCUAUAAUAACUGUUUAGUUAUGGGAAUGAACUUGAUGAAUAUAAGUAUUGCAUAAUCAAUAGUUUUACGUAGGGUAUGGCUGAAAAGUCCUAGAAAAAUUAAAAGAAAUGUGUUGGACAGCACCAUGUAUUUAGUAUCAAGAGGGGAUCAUGUUCUGGCUUCAUUACUAGCAUGGAAGAUGUACAACAUGCCAGCUUGAGCUUCACCUCCACCAGGCAUCAGCGAAACUAAAACUGACAAUUAGUUCACAUUUUUGACAUCAUGAGUGUGACAUGUACCUGCUGUGUUAUCUAGAUAUGUGCUGCUGAAUUGCUUCAUAAUGUCAGCUCCUACGUUUAUGUAUCAUCCGACUGUUGCAUUGGUGCCAUUGUCUGGCACUGAUUGUUCUCUUGUUCUCUUUUGAUGCCAUUGAUUUAUGUAAAACAUAAUGGUUUGCUAAGUUUGAAAUACUCUGCAUAAUUUAGUUAUAAUUCUAAUAAACAUGAAUAAUGUGGCAAAGUG